rnacentral:lncRNA from 1 species
AAUAGGAUAUUUUUGACCAAAAUAAAAUGCUGGUCAAACCUAACUAUUUUCGAUUAUUACAGAAUAGUUUGAAAUAAAUUAUUCUAUCUUUUUGGUGGAAUAGUGUUUAUUCCUAAAAUUUAAUUUCAAGCUUUAUUAAUUUUAUAAAUUUAGUUAAAGUAAAUUAUGUAGACAUGGUAUAUUUCUAUAUUAUCAUAAAUAUUUUUAUUAUAAAAUUAUUUUCUGUACUCUUUUAAUUCAUCUUAUUUGUACUUAUAUAUUAUAAUCAAUUAUUAUAAUAAAUUAUACUUAAAUAUUAUAAUAAAUCAUUUUUAUUAAAUUAAAGUUAAAGUAGAAGUUGAACAAAAAAUAAUUUUAUAAAAAUUAUUUUUAUUAAAUUAUAUUCUAUAUUAAAUUCAACCAUCACUUUUUUUUUCACUAUUUCUCUACUAUUUCAUAAAAUUAACCAAACGUAAUUUAAUUAGAGUUAAUUUUAUACAGAUCCUUACAAACAUAGUAAAUGACAAAUAUAUUCCUAUAAAGUACAUCUUUCAUAUAUUGUUCAUACAAAAGUCUUGAUAUUUUCAAAUAUGUUUCUAUCGUUAGAAUCCGUUAGAAAAUUUUAGUUAACCAUAGGUUAAAUACUUUAGCCUGAUUAGUUUUUGACUUUUUUAUCCCUCUUAUAUUAUACUGUUAUGGCUUUUAGAGGGACAUAUUUAUGAUGACAAAAUUAAAAAUAUAAAUAUUUAACGGUUCUCUGACGGUAACAAACUAGAGAGAUAUAUUUGAAAAUAUUAGAAUUUUUAUAAAGACAACAUAUAAAAGUUGAACUUUAUGGAGAUAUUUUUGUCAUUCAUUAUAUCUGCAGGAACAUAUAUGAAAUUAACCCUUUAAAUUAUUCUUGAGAAUAAUAAUAUUAUAAAUCAAAUAUAAUUUUACUUUUUUAUUUUAGACUAUUUCAAAACAAUAAAUUAUUUUAAAAGUAAAUAUUUAUUUUAAU